rnacentral:tRNA from 4 species
GCCGGGAUAGCUCAGAUGGUAGAGCGACGGUAUCGUAAACCGUAGGUCUGGGGUUCGAUCCCCCAUCCCGGCU